rnacentral:rRNA from 1 species
GACGAACGCUGGCGGCGUGCUUAACACAUGCAAGUCGAACGCGCCUGUCCUCUGGGUUUCUGGGGGUGGGUGAGUGGCCAACGGGGGAGGAACACGGGAGUAACCUGCCCCCUUCUUCGGGGUAACGGUCUGAAAGGGCUGCUAAUACCGGGGAUUCACUGGUCCCCGCAUGGGGUCCGGUGGAAAGGUUUUUUUCUGGUGGGGGAUGGGCUCGCGGCCUAUCAGCUUGUUGGUGGGGUGAUGGCCCACCAAGGCUUUGACGGGUAGCCGGCCUGAGAGGGUGACCGGUCACAUUGGGACUGAGAUACGGCCCAGACUCCUACGGGAGGCAGCAGUGGGGAAUAUUGCACAAUGGGCGCAAGCCUGAUGCAGCGACGCCGCGUGAGGGAUGGAGGCCUUCGGGUUGUGAACCUCUUUCGCCCGUGGUCAAGCCGCGACGUGGGUCGUGGUGAGGGUAGUGGGUAAAGAAGCGCCGGCUAACUACGUG